rnacentral:lncRNA from 1 species
GAAGUAGAACUUCCUAGGUCCUUAUUUAGGGUGAGCAGUUGGUGAAGGAAAGCAUCAAGUUAAUAUUUUUCUCAGACAUCUGCACUUUUGACUGAUUUAACGGACAAGUUGUUUCUCUUUCAGGCCCCAUGAUUGAUACAGAGGACUGUCAUAUGAACCAGAGAGGGUAAUUGAAACCAAAGAAAGGCCUCUGGUGUGUAGCCAAAGGCAUGCCACCAGGGGUGAGAAGGAGCAGAUGUCUUGACAAACAGGGCAUGAGACCAGCUGUGCGUGGUCAGCCUCUGAUUUGGGCCCAAAAGGAAAAGAAAUUCAGAGGAGACAGUGACUCUCAGACUCUCCCUUGUUAAUGAGCAAGAGUUCCCUGGAUCCAAGAGGUAAGUGAGAGGCGAUCUGGGUUUUAGUGUGGAAACUGCAUUCUGAG